rnacentral:rRNA from 1 species
GACGAACGCUGGCGGCGUGCUUAACACAUGCAAGUCGAGCGGUAAGGCCUCUUCGGAGGUACACGAGCGGCGAACGGGUGAGUAACACGUGGGUGACCUGCCCUCAGCUCUGGGAUAAGCCCGGGAAACUGGGUCUAAUACCGGAUACGACUUUUCCUCGCAUGGGGAUUUGUGGAAAGCCCUGGUCUUCAUCGGUUGGGGUGGCUGGGGAUGGGCCCGCGGCCUAUCAGCUUGUUGGUGGGGUGAUGGCCUACCAAGGCGACGACGGGUAGCCGGCCUGAGAGGGCGACCGGCCACACUGGGACUGAGACGCGGCCCAGACUCCUACGGGAGGCAGCAGUGGGGAAUAUCGCGCAAUGGGCGAAAGCCUGACGCAGCGACGCCGCGUGGGGA